GUGGGGAAUAUUGGGCAAUGGGGGCAACCCUGACCCAGCAACGCCGCGUGAGGGAAGAAGGUUUUCGGAUUGUAAACCUCUGUCCUAUGGGAAGAAGGAAGUGACGGUACCAUAGGAGGAAGCCCCGGCUAACUACGUGCCAGCAGCCGCGGUAAUACGUAGGGGGCGAGCGUUGUCCGGAAUUACUGGGCGUAAAGGGUGCGCAGGUGGCCUGACAAGUCAGAUGUGAAAUACCGAUGCUUAACGUCGGGGCUGCAUUUGAAACUAUGAGGCUGGAGUGCAGGAGAGGGAAGCGGAAUUCCUAGUGUAGCGGUGAAAAGCAUAGAUAUUAGGAGGAAAACCAGUGGCGAAGGCGGCUUUCUGGACUGUAACUGACACUGAGGCACGAAAGCGUGGGGAGCAAACAGGAUUAGAAACCCUGGUAGUCC
rnacentral:rRNA from 1 species